rnacentral:rRNA from 1 species
AUUGAACGCUGGCGGUAUGCUUAACACAUGCAAGUCGAACGGUAGCAGGCCUUCGGGCGCUGACGAGUGGCGAACGGGUGAGUAAUACAUCGGAACGUGCCCGAUCGUGGGGGAUAACGAAGCGAAAGCUUUGCUAAUACCGCAUACGAUCUACGGAGGAAAGCAUGGGACCGCAAGGCCUUGCGCGAACGGAGCGGCCGAUGGCAGAUGAGGUAGUUGGUGGGAUAAAAGCUUACCAAGCCGACGAUCUGUAGCUGGUCUGAGAGGACGACCAGCUACACUGGGACUGAGACACGGCCCAGACUCCUACGGGAGGCAGCAGUGGGGAAUUUUGGACAAUGGGCGAAAGCCUGAUCCAGCCAUGCCGCGUGCAGGAUGAAGGCCUUCGGGUUGUAAACUGCUUUUGUACGGAACGAAAAGACUCUGGUUAAUACCUGGGGUCCAUGACGGUACCGUAAGAAUAAGCACCGGCUAACUACGUGCCAGCCGCCGCCGUAAGAC